rnacentral:piRNA from 1 species
UGCACCAACGAUGGACUCGAUGCCACGAC